GAUGAACGCUGGCGGCGUGCCUAAUACAUGCAGGUCGAGCGAACAGACGAGGCGCUUGCUCCUCUGACGUUAGCGGCGGACGGGGGAGUAACACGUGGAUAACCUACCUAUAAGACUGGGAUAACUUCGGGAAACCGGAGCUAAUACCGGAUAAUAUAUUGAACCGCAUGGUUCAAUAGUGAAAUACGGUUUUGCUGUCACUUAUAGAUUGAUCCGCGCCGCAUUAGCUAGAUGGUAAGGUAACGGCUUACCCAGGCAACGAUGCGUAGCCGACCUGAGAGGGUGAUCGGACAGACUGGCACUGAGACACGGUCCAGACACCUACGGGAGGCAGCAGUAGGGAAUCUUCCGCAAUGGGCGAAAGCCUGACGGAGCAACGCCGCGUGAGUGAUGAAGGUCUUCGGAUCGUAAAACGCUGUUAUUAGGGAAGAACAAAUGUGUAAGUAACUAUGCACGUCUUGACGGUACCUAAGCAGAAAGCCACGGCUAACUACGUG
rnacentral:rRNA from 1 species